UGGGAUUAAAGCCGUGUGCCACCACUUCCUGGCCAGUGUUAAUUUUCUAAUCACAGGGUUGGAUCCUUUGAGUAAGCAAUAAAAGCUGAGAAUCCCUCUCAGGAGAGCCAAGCUGCCAAGAAGUCUCUUAGACAAUCGGAGCUACAUAUAAGACUCUGAGACCAGAUCUGCUGCCUGGAAGAAGUAGAAACCAGCUGAGCUGCCUGGAAGAGGUGUAGACCGGAGUCACCUGGAAAAGACUGUCUAACCUGUUGAGCUGGCUGAAUGCUGUGCUGUGAGCUCAAAGUUUUCCAGCCUUUGUGAGCUGUCACCCUUGCCAGAGUGGGCUUUGGUGAUGCAGCUGUCUCUGAGUCAUUUCUGCUCCUGUGCUCCUGUGAGGAACCCCUCACCCAUAUUCCUGAUAAGUAAGCCCAAUAAAGCUCAUGGCUCACCAA